rnacentral:rRNA from 1 species
UACGUAGGGGGCGAGCGUUAUCCGGAUUUAUUGGGCGUAAAGCGUGUGUAGGCGGUUUAUUAAGUCUGGGAUGAAAGGCUAUGGCUUAACCAUAGUUUGUUUCAGAAACUGGUAGACUAGAGUGCAGUAGAGGCAAUUGGAAUUCAUAGUGUAGCGUUGGAAUGCGUAGAUAUUAUGAGGAACAUCAGUGGCGAAGGCGAAUUGCUGGGCUGUUACUGACGCUGAGACACGAAAGCGUGGGGAGCAAAUA